UACGUAGGGUGCGAGCGUUAAUCGGAAUUACUGGGCGUAAAGCGUGCGCAGGCGGUUUUGUAAGCCAGAUGUGAAAUCCCCGGGCUUAACCUGGGAAUGGCAUUUGGGACUGCAAGGCUGGAGUGUGGCAGAGGAGACUGGAAUUCCUGGUGUAGCAGUGAAAUGCGUAGAUAUCAGGAGGAAUACCGAUGGCGAAGGCAAUCCCCUGGGCCUGCACUGACGCUCAUGCACGAAAGCGUGGGGAGCAAACAGG
rnacentral:rRNA from 1 species